UGCCAGCAGCCGCGGUAAUUCCAGCUCCAAUAGCGUAUAUUAAAGUUGUUGCGGUUUAAAAGCUCGUAGUUGGAUCUCGGUUUCACUCAGGCGGUACACCUUGCGGUGUUCACUGUCUGGGCGGACGUUUCUGUUGGUUCGCUGUUGGUUCUCUUAAUCGAGUGCCAAUUGGUGGCCAGCACGUUUACUUUGAAAAAAUUGGAGUGCUCAAAGCAGGCGUUACAGCCUGAACAUUAGUGCAUGGAAUAAUGGAAUAGGAUCUCGAUUCUAUUUCGUUGGCUUUCGGAGUCGAGGUAAUGAUUAAUAGGGACAGACGGGGGCAUUCGUACUGCGACGUUAGAGGUGAAAUUCUUGGAUCGUCGCAAGACGAACUACUGCGAAAGCAUUUGCCAAGAAUGUUUUCAUUAAUCAAGAACGAAAGUUAGAGGUUCGAAGGCGAUCAGAUACCGCCCUAGUUCUAACCAUAAACGAUGCCAACCGGCGAUCCGUCGUCGUUAAUUGAAUGACUCGACGGGCAGCCUCCGGGAAACCAGAGUGUUUGGGUUCCGGGGGAAGUAUGGUUGCAAAGCUGAAACUUAAAGGAAUUGACGGAAGGGCACCACCAGGAGUGGAGCCUGCGGCUUUAUUUGACCCAACACGGGAAAUCUCACCAGGCCCGGACACCGGAAGGAUUGACAGAUUGAGAGCUCUUUCUUGAUCCGGUGGGUGGUGGUGCAUGGCCGUUCUUAGUUGGUGGAGCGAUUUGUCUGGUUAAUUCCGAUAACGAACGAGACUCUGGCCUACUAACUAGAAGGGUCGUUCUUUACGAGCGGCCCUCUGCUUCUUAGAGGGACGGGCGGCGUUUAGCCGCACGAGAAUGAGCAAUAACAGGUCUGUGAUGCCCUUAGAUGUUCUGGGCUGCACGCGCGCUACACUGAAGGAAUCAGCAUGUUCUCCCCUCCCUGAAAAGGGCGGGUAACCCGUUGAAACUCCUUCGUGAUGGGGAUUGGAGAUUGUAAUUAUUCUCCAUGAACGAGGAAUUCCCAGUAGGCGCGAGUCAUCAGCUUGCGUCGAUUACGUCCCUGCCCUUUGUACACACCGCCCGUCGCUACUACCGAUCGAGUGAUUUAGUGAGGACUUCGGACUGGUCUCCAAGUUGGCUUCGGUCAGCUCGGAGUUCCGGAAAGAUGCCCAAACUUGAUCACUUAGAGGAAGAAAAAGUCGUA
rnacentral:rRNA from 1 species